CAAUAGCGUAUAUUAAAGUUGUUGCGGUUAAAAGCUCGUAGUUGGAUUUCUGUCGGAGACGCGCGGUCCGCACUAUGUGCGUGUAUCUGUGUCGGCUCUGGCAUCCUCCUGGGGAACGGUGCUGCGCUUGAUUGCGUGGUCCGGUAUUCAGGACUUUUACUUGAGGAAAUUAGAGUGUUUACGGCAGGCAAGCGCCUUGAAUAUAUUAGCAUGGAAUAAUAAUAUAGGGCGUAAGUUCUAUCUUGUGGUUUCUAGAACAUACGCAAUGAUUAAUAGGGACAAUUGGGGGCAUUCGUAUUAACGCGUCAGAGGUGGAAAUUCUUAGAUUGCGUUACGACGAACUACUGCGAAAGCAUUUUGCCAAGGAUGUUUUCAUUGAUCAGACGAAGUAUGGGGAUCGAAGAUGAUUAGAUACCGU
rnacentral:rRNA from 1 species